GGAAACUGUUGAUUUUCAUAAUUUUCUUUACUUUAAUCUUAAAAAUAAUCCUAAAGUAAUUGGUCCAUUCAAGUUGGUCAGUUCAAGUUCAAGCUAAAAUUAUUGGUUUGUGUAGAAAUACUCUAAUUUAGCCAAUGUAACUGUUUUUUAUUUAUGUGAUUUUUUUUGAAUCAUGUAAACAUGGCUUAAGAAAAUAUCUAUUAUAAAGAAUACUCUAUAAUAUAAAUGCCUGCAGAGUAUAAUACCUGUCACUCUCUGAAAAGGAAUGCAAAGGAGUAAUGAAGGAAAAAUAAUUAUUAGUACGAUAGGAUUUCCAUGAAUAAUUUAUGAGAACCUAGACAAGGAGUAAACAAUAGAUAUCACCCAUUUUGAGUCCUAUAGACUUUUUCCAUAUUUGCAGAAGAUAUUGCUUGUAUUUUUUUCAUUUCUAAAAGGAAAGUGUUUUGCUUUUAUUUCUGACUAUAUAUUAUCAUUGUAGAAAGCAUUCAAUACUAUAGACAAAAAGUAUUUUCUUAUAUGAAGAUCAACCAUAAACCUAUCAUCCAGAUAAAACUACCAUAAAUAGUAUUUUGCCUAUUCAUCAAGAAUUAAUUACAUUAACAUAUAUUUCACAUAUUUAUAAAAGUGAUCACACUGUACAUACAGUUUUAUAGCCUCCUUUUUUUCUCUUAAUAUAUAAUCACUGCUGUCUUUUAAUGUCCAUACAGAUCUUCAUAAUUCUUAAUGGCUAUUGUUGAAACGUACAUUUUAUUUUAUGGAUGUUCCAUAAUUUAUUUGAUCAAUCCCCUGUUGAUUAACAUUUAGGUAGUUUCAACUUUUUUUACUUUGAAUAUUGUAAUACAUCUUUUCACAUUUGACAAGAUUAUUCCUUAAGAAAUGUAAAUGCUCAAUGAGUCUGCAUAAUUUUAAGACUUUCG
rnacentral:lncRNA from 1 species